UCGAGAAUCUUCCGCAAUGGGCGAAAGCCUGACGGAGCGACGCCGCGUGCGGGAUGAAGGCCUUCGGGUUGUAAACCGCUGUCAGAGGGGAGCAAAUCUAGCUUGCUAGUUGAGCUAUCCUCAGAGGAAGCGCAGGCUAAGUUCGUGCCAGCAGCCGCGGUAACACGAACUGCGCGAACGUUAUUCGGAAUCAUUGGGCUUAAAGAGUUCGUAGGCGGCCUGAUAAGUUGGGUGUGAAAUCCCUCGGCUCAACCGAGGAACUGCGCCCAAUACUGUCAGGCUUGAGGGAGACAGAGGUGAGUGGAACUGAUGGUGGAGCGGUGAAAUGCGUUGAUAUCAUCAGGAACACCGGUGGCGAAAGCGGCUCACUGGGUCUCUUCUGACGCUGAGGAACGAAAGCUAGGGGAGCGAACG
rnacentral:rRNA from 1 species